rnacentral:rRNA from 1 species
AUGACGGCUACGGCGACCGCUCCGGCGACUGCAACGAAGCUGGCGGCGGACGAGUACACUGCAGAGCUUGCGGGAGUGCCGGUGGGGGCGCCGGUGGGUGUGGCGGAGACCGCGGAGGGUGUCAUCGCAGAGGGAGCGUCGGUGGAAGGGGCCGGGGGAGAGGCCAUCGGGGACGGCGACGCGGCGGUGGGCGGGGUGGCGAGCGGCGCAGGGGCGGUGGCCGGGGACCUCGCCGGAGGCGCCGGUAGCGGGGCCAUCCUGGGCGCCGGCAUGGGGCCCUGCGCGGCGGUGGCGACGGCGAGGAGGGCGAUGAUGGCGGCGACCACGGCGAAGCGAGCCAUCUGGUAG